GAUGAACGCUGGCGGCGUGCCUAAUACAUGCAAGUCGAGCGAACAGACGAGGAGCUUGCUCCUCUGACGUUAGCGGCGGACGGGUGAGUAACACGUGGAUAACCUACCUAUAAGACUGGGAUAACUUCAGGAAACUGGGGCUAAUACCGGAUAGGAGCUCCUGCUGCAUGGUGGGGGUUGGAAAGUUUCGGCGGUUGGGGAUGGACUCGCGGCUUAUCAGCUUGUUGGUGGGGUAGUGGCUUACCAAGGCUUUGACGGGUAGCCGGCCUGAGAGGGUGACCGGCCACAUUGGGACUGAGAUACGGCCCAGACUCCUACGGGAGGCAGCAGUGGGGAAUAUUGCACAAUGGGCGGAAGCCUGAUGCAGCAACGCCGCGUGCGGGAUGACGGCCUUCGGGUUGUAAACCGCUUUCGCCUGUGACGAAGCGUGAGUGACGGUAAUGGGUAAAGAAGCACCGGCUAACUACGUG
rnacentral:rRNA from 1 species